UGCCAGCAGCCGCGGUAAUACGAAGGGGGCGAGCGUUAUUCGGAAUCACUGGGCGUAAAGCGUGCGUAGGCGGUUUAACAAGUCAGAAGUGAAAGCCCAGGGCUCAACCCUGGAACUGCUUUUGAAACUGUUAGACUAGAAUUCGGGAGAGGUCAGGAGAAUUCCUAGUGUAGAGGUGAGAUUCGUAGAUAUUAGGAGGAAUACCAGUGGCGUAGGCGCCUGACUGGACCGACAUUGACGCUGAGGUACGAAAGCGUGGGGAGCAAACAGGAUUAGAUA
rnacentral:rRNA from 1 species